UAUGGUUGAGUAUUUAGAGAAAUCAAAAUAGACACUGGUUGCAUUAAGAAGCAACAAUACAUACAUGAAGAAAAUUGGUAAGACUGAUAUAGGUUUCAAAAGUUUGGACUUGAAACGGGACAAAUGCCACUUAGAAGGAAAAGCCAUGCAAUUUUACAAGAUCAUAAAGAAGAGACUGAAUAUGUAGUUGAUGAUUACAUCAUUAUCCAGCGAGAACAAGUUAGAUAUGUGUCAAGAGGUACCAUGAAUAUGUUCAAAUGAAAAUCUCACUUAACUGACACUUCCAACUUUCCAAAUUUGAAAUAAAUAGGCUGUGGGGUUGAUCCAGGCUAGUAACUAAUUCAAGUAAACGUUAUUCAAAAUACAUCUUAUACCAGGAAUACCAAGGCUUAUGUGGUUUCUGAUAAUAUCAAAAACUAUACAAACUAGCCAGCGCUUGCAUAGACACCAUAUACAACGAAAACAAUAAUCUACGGUAUCUACCAUAAGAAUACAAUAUGGUAUGCAUAUACCCAGCCCCAUACCCAUUUCAAGAACGAAACUCCAACCCGAGGGCCAUCGAAAGCAAAAUAAGAAAUC